GAAGGUUUCGUGAACGUCGGCUGCGGUGGUGUUUUCAUGUGUGAGACAGACCGUGCUGAUGCCAUGCCGUCCGGCGGUCCAAGCUACGGCAGCCACUGCUGUGUGUCGUGGUGCUUUGACAACGGCAGAACCCAGAAGAAGCCUAUCUUGCCUUGGAAUAAAAACAUUGCGGAAA
rnacentral:lncRNA from 1 species